GUGUGAAACACUGUGGUUCUUACAGUACAGUUCUUCCCUGGAUUGUUGCUGGUGUAUCUCUCACUUUGAAUGUCUUCUGCAUAACCUACAUAUGGUUCCUUUGGAAUUCAAGAAAAAAGGUGAACCUACAUCAGGAGGAGAGAACCUACAUGUCACU